UGAUCGUUAUCUCUGCUAAUGUCAAAAUCAACAAAAGCUUUUCAUUCUUUGAUUGGUCCAUAAUUUUCAUGUCGCGUCAUUUUGCUCUGUAACUGGCGCCACGGUAUUCUCGUUUACAAAUACGCGAAUGAAACAAAUAUACAUUUGUGUGUAGCAUCAUAAAUACAAUAUCUCUUGCACUUGAAUAAGCUCUUUUGUAAAUUUGAAGAUUUGAAACUAAUUUGGCGAUUUGGAUUUCUAAGUUACACAAGUUGUAAAAUCAAGGACAGUUUAUAGUUAUACAUCUAGACGUGAACAUUCUAAGAUCUGUGCGCUGUGAAAUGUUUCAUUUUUGAAGGGAUGCCUUGAUAUCUGAUUAUCCAGUGAAAAUCAUCGCAGUACCUCUAUAUCUACGUAUCACGUGACUCAAGAAAUGGUGAUAGCAAGGAGUUGAUAAGCCACGGCAUUUAUAGCAGUACAUCUUGGAUUAACAGACAGAGAAAACAGACAGAAAUAUAUGGAUUUAUAUGAAAGUCGCAAUUAUUAGUUGUGCAAACUUAUGGUGUUUUGUUUUUUCCUAUCUUGAUUUUGAGACGACCUUGUUUUCAAUGAUCGCAUAUAUACUGAUCAAUAUUUAAACUUUAUACUGAUAUAUAUCUCAAGGAAAAUUAUUGAGAUUCGUGUUUGAAAGCAAAAGCUAUGGAUAUAGCAACUGCAGAACAACAGCACGCGGCUUGGUUGCGACCAGAAGCA
rnacentral:lncRNA from 1 species